rnacentral:rRNA from 1 species
GACAGAGGUGCCGAGCGUUAGGCGGAACCACUGGGCUUAAAGCGUGUGUAGGCGGACUUCUAAGUACCUUGUGAAAUCCUAUGGCUCAACCAUGGAACUGCUUGGUAUACUGGUUGUCUUGAGCCACUUAGGGGCAGUCGGAACAGAUGGUGGAGCGGUGAAAUGCGUAGAUAUCAUCUGGAACGCCAAAGGUGAAACAGACUGCUGGGAGUGAUGCUGACGCUGAGACACGAAAGCUAGGGGAGCGAACGGG